rnacentral:rRNA from 1 species
CUGCUGCCUCCCGUAGGGGUCUGGGCCGUGUCUCAGUCCCAAUGUGGCCGUCCACCCUCUCAGGCCGGCUACUGAUCGUCGCCUUGGUAGGCCGUUACCCUGCCAACAAGCUAAUCAGACGCGGGUCCAUCUUACACCACCGUGGUUUUCAAGGAAAACACAUGCAUGUUCUCCUGUUAUGCGGUAUUAGCACCUAUUUCUAAGUGUUAUCCCCCGGUGUAAGGCAGGUUGCCCACGCGUUACUCACCCGUCCGCCACUAAAACA